UACGGGGGGUGCUAACGUUGUCCGGAAUUACUGGGCGUAAAGCGCAUGUAGGCGGUUGCGCACGUCGGCGAUGAAAGACUGCCGCUUAACGGCAGGAACGUUUCCGAUACGACGCAGCUAGAGGAAGACAGGGGUACGCGGAACUUUCGGUGUAGGAGUGAAAUCCGUAGAUAUCGAAAGGAACACCAAUGGCGAAGGCAGCGUACUGGGUCUUAUCUGACGCUAAGAUGCGAAAGCGUGGGGAGCAAACGGG
rnacentral:rRNA from 1 species